AUUGAACGCUGGCGGCAUGCCUUACACAUGCAAGUCGAACGGUAACAGGUUAAGCUGACGAGUGGCGAACGGGUGAGUAAUGUAUCGGAGCGUGCCUAGUAGUGGGGGAUAACUACUCGAAAGAGUGGCUAAUACCGCAUGAGAUCUACGGAUGAAAGCAGGGGAUCGCAAGACCUUGUGCUACUAGAGCGGCCGAUGGCAGAUUGGGUAGUUGGUGGGAUAAAAGCUUACCAAGCCGACGAUCUGUAGCUGGUCUGAGAGGACGAUCAGCCACACUGGGACUGAGACACGGCCCAGACUCCUACGGGAGGCAGCAGUGGGAAAUUUUGGACAAUGGGCGAAAGCCUGAUCCAGCAAUGCCGCGUGCAGGAUGAAGGCCUUCGGGUUGUAAACUGCUUUUGUACGGAACGAAAAGCCCUGGGUUAAUACCCUGGGGUCAUGACGGUACCGUAAGAAUAAGCACCGGCUAACUACGUGCCAGCCGCCGCCGUAA
rnacentral:rRNA from 1 species